GCCCGCUUGAUGGAACUGGUAGACAUACGAGACUUAAAAUCUCGAGGCCCGAAAGGGCCGUGCUGGUUCGAGUCCAGCAGCGGGCACCA
rnacentral:tRNA from 1 species